rnacentral:rRNA from 1 species
AAAGUAAAGAGUUGAGUAUAUGAAGAAGAAUUUAUUUUUUUCUUUCAUAUCUCUCUUAAGGGAAGAUGAAAAUUUAAUUAAUAAUAUAUUUUAUAUAUUAUUAAUGAAAAUUUUUCGCACUCCCAGGGCGCUUGUUUCACGCUUUGCGUGUCAAUGCGCACCUAGAGCGUACACGCUGAUACCCGAAAGAUGGUGAACUAUGCCUGGCCAGGACGAAGCCAGGGGAAACCCUGGUGGAGGUCCGCAGCGAUUCUGACGUGCAAAUCGAUCGUCGGAGCUGGGUAUAGGGGCGAAAGACCAAUCGAACCAUCUAGUAGCUGGUUCCCUCUGAAGUUUCCCUCAGGAUAGCUUGCGCUCGGUUGAGAAGAGUCUCAUCCGGUAGAGCGAAUGAUUAGAGGCAUUGGGGUCGAAACGACCUCAACCUAUUCUCAAACUCCAAAUAGAUGAGAUCCCCGGCUUUCUUAAAAU